rnacentral:lncRNA from 1 species
AUGAAUGGGAAGGACACAGGGAUGAAUAAGAUGCAAACCACCAGUUUUGGAGACCUCUGCUUUUCCAAGGUUCUUGACAAGAGUAGUGAGGAAUUUCCACCCUUCCUUGACCUCUGCAGAACACCACUGACACAGCCUGGCACAAAGGAGCCUUUGAUGGCAUGGGGAGUCCCGAGGAAGCGGCAAUGCCACCUAAGAAGGCACUGGGCUCCCAGGGGUUUUUUGCUUUCUUUCCCACCUGCCCCAGAUGAAAGGCCCCAAGGCAAAUGGAUUUUAGGAGGUGGAGGGGUGAGCUGUUGUGAGCUUGUGUGUUUUACUGCCAUAUCCCAGCGGCUGCGCAGCUCCACUGAAAACCGGAGCUCUAUUAUUCUCUUGUAUCAGUAG